UGGGAGAAGAGUGAAGACAUGCUACCCUCAGAUGCAUCACUGGCGAGCACAAGACAAGCCACUUGCUAAACAAUUAUUAGCUAUCCUCGACGAUCCUGAGGUAUAUAUUAUACAUUUGCGAUUUAUGUUGUACAUCCUUCUGAAAUAUUUAUACAUGGUCAUUAACUCGGUGAAAUAUCAAUAUGUCAACUUCAAGUCCUCACCGAGUUGAUAGCGUCAAUCGAGGAGGAGGGUCAAAGAUAUUUUCCUAGAUUGUUUGUUCCGAAGCACCAGACAAUCAGAUGACUAAGUCAGAUGUGGAUCAAGAUAGGGUAUGUUAGUCGAAUAUGAUUUGUUGAUUUUCGUUUUGAUUUUUUUAAUUAAGUCAUUUAUUUGUAAUAUUCAUUUUUUAAGAGCGCCGUCUAGUAUCAUCUUCACCUAGGAAAACACCUCCGUCAAGGAGAUUACCUCCUGCAUGUAGUCGUAGUACUUCGAUAGAUGAUAUGUUCGAGCUCCUUACUGCAUUCAUGAGGGAUAUGAGAAGCGACAAGGCGGAGUUACGAGAUGAUGUCGCAAUGAUUAAGAGACCUUCAUGUUGACACCGUAGGGAUACAAGGUGACGUAGCUGGUCUGGGAGAGACUGGUGGCUUUCGGGAUGUAGGGGAUAACAAAGGGCUUUGCGGUUCUCAAGAUUCUCAUGAACGAUGGGGUAAUGGAGGAGAUGGUCAGAUGGGGUAUGAUAAUUCGUCGUAGCCAUCAAAUGCUGCAUUAGAAUCAUUUUUUUCAUAUACAACGGAGGAUGUGGCCUCGAUGGAGGUGACGAAGGGAGUACAAAAGAAGGUGGUGAAGGGGUACAGGAGGG
rnacentral:lncRNA from 1 species